AAAAAUAAUACAAGAACAAUUGUUCUACGUGAAUUUUGCCAAAUUUACACUUGGCGGAAUUUCAUUAGCGACGAAAAACAAUUUUAAUUCGUCAAAUCACGUGCUGGCAGAAUCCGUAAAUACUUAGGGUGGAAAGGAGAUGGAUGCCUGACUGCUGUGAGAAUAAUCAAUCCAUCCAGUUGCAGAGGCUGAGCAAAUUGUGGCAAAUAAACAUGGGCUUCUUUCACUACUUGGUUUUCUUGAUUGCACUUUUGUUUUUCGCCACUGUUGAAGUUAAUUCCCAUGGGGUUCCAAUAGUUAGGAAUAUAAAUGAACUUGCUCAGGAUAGUUAUGGAAUUCCUGGUUUGUCACACAUUACUGUUGCUGGUUCAGUUUUACACGGUUUUAAAGAGGUUGAAGUGUGGCUAGAGACAUUUGCUCCCGGAGCUGCCACGCCGAUCCACAGGCACUCAUGCGAGGAAGUCUUUGUGGUGCUUAAGGGAACUGGCACUCUAUAUCUUGCCUCGAAUUCAGAUCCAAAACACCCCGGGAGCCCGCAGGAGUUUCCAAUCUUAUCCAACAGUACCUUUCAUAUUCCUGUCAAUGAUGUUCAUCAGGCGCUGCAAGCUGAUAAAGAAGGAAUGACACAAAGGAAAGUAGUUCGAAAGGAUAACAAAUGAAUCAAGAAACAUUUAUAAAUACAACAGGAACAUUUCAAAAGGCAUUGAUUACCUUGAAGGAUGGCAUUGGAAAUUACAAGUCACUAGGUAGUUCAGUGGAAGGAAUAUCUGUUGCAUCAUAAAUAUAUACCAUCUAAAUUAAAGAAACUUCUGAGUAGCGAACAAGGGCGGUAACAUGAGAGAUUUUCAGAUAAAGAAUAUAACAGUUUUCCCUGGAACGGACAUGGUCUGGUUCUUGCAAGAUUCCAACCAGACAGGCAAUGAUUCGGCUUUGCACAUAGAGAACUGGCCAGUUUAUAGUGAAAGAGCAAAGCCGACCACAGUUCAUCAUUUUCUGGACUUGAGGCUUAAAAAUUGGACUACAUUAGGUCUGGAAUACUAAUGAAAGUGAGGAUCUACAGGUGUUAGUGAUCAUAUCUCGACCUCCAAUCAAAGCCCAAAUUGAAGUUCCCUAUUUUUUGGGAUGAAUACCAGACACAACCAGUGAAAGAUGAGCUUUAAAGGUUAGAAGGUUGAUUUACCAUCAUGCCUGAAUAAUGCCAUACCCACGUGAAAGAUUGCGACUGUAACAAAAUCUAUGUUUUGGAAUUCUUUGCAUCUUUUCUCGAGAACUAGUUGUGGUAAAUGUGCCUUGUAUGUUAUUUUUCAAGAGUUUUUAAAGUAUUGUAGGAACGUUAUUUUGAGAUGUUAUGUUAAGACUGAUUGAUGAUUAUAUUGCUUAUACAAGAUAUAUUGUCACGAGAAAAA